GAUGAACGCUGGCGGCGUGCCUAAUACAUGCAAGUCGAGCGAACGGACGAGAAGCUUGCUUCUCUGAUGUUAGCGGCGGACGGGGGAGUAACACGUGGAUAACCUACCUAUAAGACUGGGAUAACUUCGGGAAACCGGAGCUAAUACCGGAUAAUAUUUUGAACCGCAUGGUUCAAAAGUGAAAGACGGUCUUGCUGUCACUUAUAGAUGGAUCCGCGCUGCAUUAGCUAGUUGGUAAGGUAACGGCUUACCAAGGCAACGAAGCAUAGCCGACCUGAGAGGGUGAUCGGCCACACUAGAACUGAGACGCGGUACAGGCUCCAACAGGAGGCAGCAGUAGGGAAUCUUCCGCAAAGGGCGAAAGCCUGACGGAACAACGCCGCGUGAGUGAUGGAGGUCUUCGGAUCGUAAAGCUCUGUUAAUAGGGAAAAACGUAUGUGUAAGUAACUGUGCACAUCUUGACGGUGCCUAAUCAGAAAGCCACGGCUAACUACGUG
rnacentral:rRNA from 1 species